rnacentral:tRNA from 1 species
GGGCGAUUAACUCAGCGGUAGAGUGUUACCUUCACACGGUAGAAGUCAGUGGUUCGAUCCCACUAUCGCCCACCA